rnacentral:lncRNA from 1 species
UGCUUCAAGUUUCUCUCCAUUUAUUGAUGUUAGCUACUGGUUUGAAAGGACUAUACAAAGAAUCAACAAAAGCAGGAGCUGGUUGAGAAAAUCAACAAGAUAGAUAAACCGUUAGCCAGACUAACCAGAGGUCACAGAGAGUGUGUCCAAAUUAACAAAAUCAGAAAGGAAAAAGGGAGACAUAACAACAGAAUCAGAGGAAAUAAAAAAUCAUCAUAUACUACCACAAAAGCCUAUAUUCAACAAAACUGGAAAAUCUGGAGGAAAUGGACAAUUUUCUAGACAGAUACCAGGUACCAAAGUUAAAUCAGGAACAAAUAAACCAUCUAAACAACCCCAUAACUCCUAAAGAAAUAGAAGCAGUCAUUAUAGGUCUCCCAACCAAAAAGAAUCCAGGACCAAAUGGGUUUAAUGCAGAAUUAUAUCAGAUCUUCAUAGAAGACCUCAUACCAAUACUGUGCAAACUAUUCCACAAUAUCAAAACAGAUGGAGCACUACCGAAUUCCUUCUAUAAAACCUCAAUUACUCUUAUACUGAAACCACACAAAGACCCAA